rnacentral:rRNA from 1 species
CUCGGACCGAUUGUAAUAUGUAGAGNAUCUUCUUGCGACAUUCCUUCCGAGUCCCUGUAACGGGGCGCCGUAUAGGGUGAGAGCCCCGUACGGUUGGAUACUACCUCUGUGAAGCUCCUUCGACGAGUCGAGUAGUUUGGGAAUGCUGCUCUAAUCGGGAGGUAAAUUCCUUCUAAAGCUAAAUACCGGCCAGAGACCGAUAGCGCACAAGUAGAGUGAUCGAAAGAUGAUAAGCACUUUGGAAAGAGGGUUAAACAGUACGUGAAAUUGCUGAAAGGGAAGCGCUUGCGACCAGACUCGGGCCUGGCGGAUCAUCCGGCGUUCUCGCCGGUGCACUUCGUCUGGCCUGGGCCACAUCGGUUCGUCCCGCGGGAUAAAGCUCGGGAAACGUAGCUUCCUCCGGGAAAGUGUUAUAGUCCCCCGCCUAAUGCCCCCUGCCGGACCGAGGACCGCGCUAAGGAUCUGGCGUAAUGGCCGUCAGCGACCCGUCUUGAAACACGGACCAAGGAGUCGAACAUUUGUGCCAUGGUUUGGUGGNAAACCUUACCCGUAAUGAAAGUGAACCGAGGUGGGACCUUUGCGCACCAUCGACCGAUCCUGAAAUUUCUGAAUGGAUUGAGUAGGAGCCCACUGUUCGGACCCCAAAAAUGGUGAACUUUGCUGUUUUAGGGUGAACCCCAGGAAAACUUUGUGGAGGUCUCCACGGGUUUUUACGGCAAAUUGAUCGUCCAAAUUGGCCUUGGGGGCAAAAA